rnacentral:rRNA from 1 species
AGGGUUUGAUUCUGGCUCAGGACGAACGCUGGCGGUGCGCCUUAUGCAUGCAAGUCGAGCGAAGCUUUUCAGUAGUUUACUACAGAAAAUGACUGAGCGGCGAACGGGUGAGUAACGCGUGAGCAAUCUACCUUAGUUACAGGGAUAGCCCGAGGAAACUCGGAUUAAUACCUGAUAUUCUUUACAUUUCGCAUGAAAUCAAAAGGAAAGGUCAGCCGAACUAAGAUGAGCUCGCGUUCUAUCAGCUAGUUGGUGAGGUAAAAGCUCACCAAGGCAACGACGGAUAGCUGGUCUGAGAGGACGAUCAGCCACACUGGGACUGAGACACGGCCCAGACUCCUACGGGAGGCUGCAGCAGGGAAUAUUGCGCAAUGAGCGAAAGCUUGACGCAGCGACACCGCGUGUGGGAUGACGGAUCUAGGUUUGUAAACCACUUUCAGGAGGGAAGAAAAUGACGGUACCUCCACAAGAAGCCCCGGCCAACUACGUGCCAGCCGCCGCGGUAAUUC